GACGAACGCUAGCGGCGUGCCUAAUACAUGCAAGUCGAACGCACUCUCGUUUAGAUUGAAGGAGCUUGCUCCUGAUUGAUAAACAUUUGAGUGAGUGGCGGACGGGUGAGUAACACGUGGGUAACCUGCCCUAAAGUGGGGGAUAACAUUUGGAAACAGAUGCUAAUACCGCAUAAAACCUAACACCGCAUGGUGUAGGGUUGAAAGAUGGUUUCGGCUAUCACUUUAGGAUGGACCCGCGGUGCAUUAGUUAGUUGGUGAGGUAAAGGCUCGCCAAGACCGUGAUGCAUAGCCGACCUGAGAGGGUAAUCGGCCACACUGGGACUGAGACACGGCCCAGACUCCUACGGGAGGCAGCAGUAGGGAAUCUUCCACAAUGGACGAAAGUCUGAU
rnacentral:rRNA from 1 species